rnacentral:ncRNA from 1 species
UCCUGACAGGCUGCGCUGUGUAGUCUGACAUUAGCCACGACAGGAGACGUACAUG